ACUUUGCAUCCACAUAAGACAGCCAUAAUCUACCCUCUGCCAGGCCAUGAAGGGGUUCAAGCACAGCUCAAAACUGUGCUGUGUUAGGCUGGGACAGCUGGACAAGGCAGUUGGGGAGAUGCUGUGAUUUAGUGAACCUCUUCAGCAGCCUUUACUGACUUAAGCUCAGAGAUCCAUGCCCAGUUGACCUUCAGGUUUGAUUACUGGAGUUUUCUGUACCUAAGAAUGCAACUGCCAAACGUACAGAAUCUACAACUGGCUGAGGAUACAGCAUGCCAUUUGCUCUUCAUAACAGCUCCGGGGCAGAAGAAGAGCUUUAGCACUGGAAGAAUUCUUGAAGAACAAGAAGCCUGGGAUGUUAUCUGCUGCUCCAAGUACACAAGCAGAGCCACUGUAUGAAACUCCCCUUCCUUGUAUCUUCAGCCUGCACUGACCUUGUUUUGUAAGCAAGUAGUACCCUUGAUCCGACUUCCCGGCCUUCGGUCCUACCAAACUGUAUAUAUAGACCACCUCUAGCCCUUCAUACGUAUUAGUUACUUCUUUUCUCUAUAGCAAGUAGACAGGGAGCACUGCUUAGAAGAGCUCUUAGCAAGGGCUGGAAGAAUAAAGGAUGAAAGACUGGAAAUCUCAUUCUCUUACAGAGAAUCAAUUCUGUCAGUACAGGUUGGAACUGGGGGAACUUCCACAGGGCAAUGAGGCAUAAGUGACAUACAAGAAGGGGAGAGGCAUUGAUUGGAGCAGAUGGAGAGAAAAUAAACCAUCAGCGAAAGGGAAAUGGGUCAGGGGAGACAAA